rnacentral:rRNA from 1 species
AGCAACGCGAAGAACCUUACCAGGUCUUGACAUCCCUUUGACCGUCCUAGAGAUAGGGCUUUCCUUCGGGACAGAGGAGACAGGUGGUGCAUGGUUGUCGUCAGCUCGUGUCGUGAGAUGUUGGGUUAAGUCCCGCAACGAGCGCAACCCUUAACUUUAGUUGCCAGCAUUGAGUUGGGCACUCUAGAGUGACUGCCGGUGACAAACCGGAGGAAGGUGGGGAUGACGUCAAAUCAUCAUGCCCCUUAUGACCUGGGCUACACACGUACUACAAUGGCUGGUACAACGGGAAGCGAAGCCGCGAGGUGAAGCCAAUCCUAAAAAGCCAGUCUCAGUUCGGAUUGCAGGCUGCAACUCGCCUGCAUGAAGUCGGAAUUGCUAGUAAUCGCGGAUCAGCAUGCCGCGGUGAAUACGUUCCCGGGUCUUGUACACACCGCCCGUCACACCACGAGAGUUUACAACACCCGAAGUCGGUGAGGUAACCGCAAGGAGCCAG